GCUGUACAGAUACAGUUCCAUCGUAUAAGAUCUACAAAAGCUCCUAGCAAUUGCUCUAGCACGAUGCCUGCCUGCCACAACGCUCCUCUCCAUGAUGGUAAGGACUCACCCUCUCAGACUAUAAGCAAGCCCCCAAUUAAGUACUUUCUUCUAAAGUUUAUCUUGCUCAUGGUGUCUCAUUAUGGCCAUAGAAAAGUAACAGAGACAACUUGUUUGGAUUCAGGGGCCAGCCACAGAACUAGGACCCAGGAUCCUGUGACCUGUCAGUAGAUCUGGGCACCAUGAGCUCCUGAGAGAGGCCAUCUCAGGAUGGCUACCUGUGGGCCCUGGGCUUCACUCUUCUUCGUGCUCCCAGCUGCUUUUAUUGACAAGUGGGGAGAUAAAGAAGAUUGGGAGUGGAGUCAGAGGCUGUCAUGUGUACACGUGAGCCUAGAGUCAGCCCACUUUCCACCUGUAGUAGACUUAGGUUGACCUGUAUCGGCUCAAACACUGAGUGGGUGGGGAUCUAACAGAUUUGGGUGGUCAAGAAGGGGAGGGUCUGAACCUGGGUUCUGAAGAGAUUGGAAACUUGCCUGUGGUGGCUAAAACUCAAGAAGCUAGGUUGACCUGUAUCGGCUCAAACACUGAGUGGGUGGGGAUCUAACAGAUUUGGGUGGUCAAGAAGGGGAGGGUCUGAACCUGGGUUCUGAAGAGAUUGGAAACUUGCCUGUGGUGGCUAAAACUCAAGAAGCUGGGUAUUUAAAAACAAUAAUUUGAAGCGGGAAGACCUACUUUAACCCCAGAUCUUUUGAGAUGGAAAGAUCCAUCUUUAAUCCGGGCCACACCUUCUGCUGGCAGAAGAUAAAGGUGAAGGGCAUGGGAUAAA
rnacentral:lncRNA from 1 species